CUUUACUUACAUUUUACAUGCAGCAGAAAACGGAAAUGUCUGAAAUCCUGCGUAUAACGAAUUCACUGAAGAAUGCUGCCUUGGUAACCCCUGUGAAGUCAAUGACAGGCAAAAUCUCUACCUGGCUCGUCGCACUCUGGUUCACAAAGUCUUGCACAAGUUAAGUUUUCUGUGGAGCUGCAGUUUAUAUCCUCAGUAUCAAAUCCAUGCUUGGAAGUAAGAUCUGAAAGGAAAUGGAAGAAACUAUCAGCAAAGUGCCACUAAAGUCAUAUUCUGAAAAAAAUGUUGACAUAAUAGCUCUUUACCUGAACUUGGAUAACAAUAUGAGUCUCCUCGUCAUGACAUUUUUGAAGACAAAUCUAUCUUUGCUGGAGUCUGGGUUUAACAAAGCAGCAGGAAAGUGGAUUCGAGAAAGGAGAGAGCAACAGAGAGGCCCCAAACUCUCUACAAACAUACUCUGUGUAAAUCCUUAACUCCUGAACUAUGUUUGCUGUGGAGUCCAUGAAGGACUCUUAAGACUGAAAACACUUAACAGAGACUUCAACUUACUCCUCAUGUGGGGGAGAGUUUAUAAAUUUUGAGCCAAACCGACAACUUACUGUGAAAUAAACAAGAAUCAACUCUCAUUAGUGGGAGAUAACAGAAUUUAAACAACAGCCACAGAAGAAAAACAGGAAAACACAGCUAGCUGAUCCUCAAAUGUGAAGGCUUCUUAAGAAAGAAAGAGUCAGAUGUCCGCUUUCUCCAUCACUGUUCACCACAGCACUAAAAGUCCCAACAGAACAAUGAGGCAAUAAAGAGAAAUAAAAGGUAUCCAAACUGAAAAGGAGGUAGUCAAAUUAUGUCUGUUUGCAGAUAUUGUGAUAUUAUACAUAAGUGCAAUUAUAAAAUCUGGAAUAAAGAAAUUCAAUAAAUUUUCAGGAUAAAAAAA